ensembl:lncRNA
CACUGGCCCGACACAGAGGAGCUACACCAGCUCCCAUCGUCCUCCACCUUAACUUGUGGAGCCGGUGCAGAUAUAGUUCUGCAGCGCUGCUUGGAGUCAGUGCCGUAGCUGAGUGGUGGUGAAUAUUGAGUUCAUAGAGGCUGCAGUUAGCUAUGUAGCUGCCGUCUAUUAUCAGGCCUGUUGUGUAACGGUUGAGCAGGCGCGGUUAGCCCGCUGGGUGGUGCACUGAGAAAGAAGAGAAGGACUGGGCCCUAACCCCCGCAGGCCAGGGCUCUGGUGCAUUGUAGUUGCAUUGCACGUCUGCUUUCACCGUGCAGUGUUUCCGCUCUGCAACGGAGAACUUGGGCACAACAACUCAAUCCGUCGUCUUCACCAUGAGAAAACUUCAUAUCGACCUCGAUAAUUUGACUGCUCCUCGAAAUAGAACUCGCCGGAAAUGCAAAGAACACAUGUCCUAAUUUUAGUUUCGUGUCGGAGUUGCUUGUGUGUGUACCUCUAUGAAUGAUCAUCUCUCUUCACACCACGGUGAUAUCUGGCGUCUGAUCUGGGAGGUCACCGGGUCGACGUCUGGGUCACUUUCACUUCAGAUGUAUUACUCUUUUUUUGUUAUAUCUGCAUCGUCUACUUGUUAUUUUUAUUAAAAAUAAUAAUAAUAUUCCAACAAUUUAUGAAUAUAAAGUAAAAUACAAAUCGUAGGUUAUUCAUGAAAUUGGCCGUUACACAAUCCAAUUAGUUUGGCAACUAAAGGUAGACAACAACCUAGAAUGAAGAUAACUUUUUUUCCGCAAUUGAUUGAUUGAUUGAAUCUAAUAAAAGAUUACCUCAGAAUUGGAAAUUAUUAAUGUAUUUAUUACAGGGCAUAACUUAACAGGUUACCUGGUUACUUACAUGUCUUAUUUUACAUUAUGUGUGUGUGUGUGUGUGUGUGUGUGUGUGUGUGUGUGUGUGUGUGUGUGUGUGUGUGUGUGUGUGUGUGUGUGUGUGUGUGUGUGUGUGUGUGUGUGUGUGUGUGUGUGUGUGUGGGGGGUGUGUGUGUGUGUAUGUAUGUAUGUAUGUAGCAUAGCAUGAAUGUAGCCUGUUUGUUGUUUAUCUAUCUUCCAAUCAUUCAAUGUGAUCAGGUCGAAGGUUUUCUUAAUAUUGCUGGCAGGGGCCAUUUCAGAAACGGCCCUGAAACCAAAUUUGAUGCCAAAUCGGAAUCCUGCAUCACACGCACUCACACACAUACUCACACACACACAUAUUCACACACAAACACACAUUCACAAAUGCACACAAACACACGCACACACAUACAUACACGCGCUUACACACACACACA